rnacentral:misc_RNA from 1 species
GUCAAAACUUAAGAUACUAAACACCAUAACCUGUCAUUCAAUUCACAUGAUUUUCAUCCAUCAAAAUCUAAUCACCUAUGGUUCCUAUAAUGAAAUUUAUACCCUGUCCAAUAUACCCUAGCCAACUGUUUUUUGCCACACUCCCUAGUCCCGUUUAGGACAUCAUUCUACAGAUCAUUAUAUUAGUGGUACUCUUUCGUCUCCCCUGAGAAGACAUAACUAAGCUCUGCAGCAUCACUGACUACAAGAGAGGUACCACAUCUACCGCAUUAUCACAAUUGUAUAAGGCUAUCUGCUCUCUUUUAUAUUAUAAACUUUCCUAGAAUGCCAUUUCGCAGGCUACAUAUAUUAUUCAUAACCUCCAGUCUCCUUUAGGGAGUAGAAUCGUACUUAUGCUCCAUAGUCACACAAAGGAGAUGCUAUCUUCAUUAAACUUUAGACAAUAUGUCCACCAUAAUGCCAACACUACCAACGUUUUCAUACUGGC